AGAGUUUGAUCCUGGCUCAGGACGAACGCUGGCGGCGUGCCUAACACAUGCAAGUCGAACGGAGCAAAGCCCUUCGGGACUUUACUUAGUGGCGAACGGGUGAGUAACGCGUGAGGAACCUGCCUUCCAGUGGGGGACAACAGUUGGAAACGACUGCUAAUACCGCAUGAUGCUUUUGAGGGACAUCCCUUAAAAGCCAAAGCUUUAUGUGCUGGAAGAUGGCCUCGCGUCUGAUUAGCCAGUUGGUGAGGUAAUGGCCCACCAAGGCAACGAUCGGUAGCCGGACUGAGAGGUUGAACGGCCACAUUGGGACUGGGACACGGCCCAGACUCCUACGGGAGGCAGCAGUGGGGAAUAUUGCACAAUGGGGGAAACCCUGAUGCAGCGACGCCGCGUGGAGGAAGAAGGUCUUCGGAUUGUAAACUCCUGUUGUUGAGGAAGAUAAUGACGGUACUCAACAAGGAAGUGACGGCUAACUACGUGCCAGCAGCCGCGGUAAAACGUAGGUCACAAGCGUUGUCCGGAAUUACUGGGUGUAAAGGGAGCGCAGGCGGGAAGACAAGUUGGAAGUGAAAUCUAUGGGCUCAACCCAUAAACUGCUUUCAAAACUGUUUUUCUUGAGUAGUGCAGAGGUAGGCGGAAUUCCCGGUGUAGCGGUGGAAUGCGUAGAUAUCGGGAGGAACACCAGUGGCGAAGGCGGCCUACUGGGCACCAACUGACGCUGAGGCUCGAAAGUGUGGGUAGCAAACAGGAUUAGAUACCCUGGUAGUCCACACCGUAAACGAUGAUUACUAGGUGUUGGAGGAUUGACCCCUUCAGUGCCGCAGUUAACACAAUAAGUAAUCCACCUGGGGAGUACGACCGCAAGGUUGAAACUCAAAGGAAUUGACGGGGGCCCGCACAAGCAGUGGAGUAUGUGGUUUAAUUCGACGCAACGCGAAGAACCUUACCAAGUCUUGACAUCCUGCGACGCACAUAGAAAUAUGUGUUUCCUUCGGGACGCAGAGACAGGUGGUGCAUGGUUGUCGUCAGCUCGUGUCGUGAGAUGUUGGGUUAAGUCCCGCAACGAGCGCAACCCUUACUGUCGGUUACUACGCAAGAGGACUCUGGCAGGACUGCCGUUGACAAAACGGAGGAAGGUGGGGAUGACGUCAAAUCAUCAUGCCCUUUAUGACUUGGGCUACACACGUACUACAAUGGCGUUAAACAAAGAGAAGCAAGACCGCGAGGUGGAGCAAACUCAGAAACAACGUCCCAGUUCGGACUGCAGGCUGCAACUCGCCUGCACGAAGUCGGAAUUGCUAGUAAUCGUGGAUCAACAUGCCACGGUGAAUACGUUCCCGGGCCUUGUACACACCGCCCGUCACACCAUGAGAGCCGGGGGGACCCGAAGUCGGUAGUCUAACCGCAAGGAGGACGCCGCCGAAGGUAAAACUGGUGAUUGGGGUGAAGUCGUAACAAGGUA
rnacentral:rRNA from 1 species